ACAUCCAGAGAAUUUAGCAGAGAUGCUUUAGUGCCUUCGGGAACUCUGAGACAGGUGCUGCAUGGCUGUCGUCAGCUCGUGUUGUGAAAUGUUGGGUUAAGUCCCGNAACGAGCGCAACCCUUAUCCUUUGUUGCCAGCACGUAAUGGUGGGAACUCAAAGGAGACUGCCGGUGAUAAACCGGAGGAAGGUGGGGAUGACGUCAAGUCAUCAUGGCCCUUACGAGUAGGGCUACACACGUGCUACAAUGGCGCAUACAAAGAGAAGCGACCUCGCGAGAGCAAGCGGACCUCAUAAAGUGCGUCGUAGUCCGGAUUGGAGUCUGCAACUCGACUCCAUGAAGUCGGAAUCGCUAGUAAUCGUAAAUCAGAAUGUUACGGUGAAUACGUUCCCGGGCCUUGUACACACCGCCCGUCACACCAUGGGAGUGGGUUGCAAAGGAAGUAGAUAGCUUAACCUUCGGGAGGGCGUUUACCACUUUGUGAUUCAUGACUGGGGUGAAGUCGUAACAAGGUAAGCGUAGUGCU
rnacentral:rRNA from 1 species